rnacentral:rRNA from 1 species
GACGAACGCUGGCGGCGUGCCUAAUACAUGCAAGUUGAGCGAUGAAGAUUGGUGCUUGCACCAAUUUGAAGAGCAGCGAACGGGUGAGUAACGCGUGGGGAAUCUGCCUUUGAGCGGGGGACAACAUUUGGAAACGAAUGCUAAUACCGCAUAACAACUUUAAACAUAAGUUUUAAGUUUGAAAGAUGCAAUUGCAUCACUCAAAGAUGAUCCCGCGUUGUAUUAGCUAGUUGGUGAGGUAAAGGCUCACCAAGGCGAUGAUACAUAGCCGACCUGAGAGGGUGAUCGGCCACAUUGGGACUGAGACACGGCCCAAACUGCUAGAGGAGGCAGCAGUAGGGAAUCGUCGGCAAUGGACGAAAGUCUGACCGAGCAACGCCGCGUGAGUGAAGAGGGUUUUCGGGUCGUAAAACUCUGUUGGUAGAGAAGAGCGUUGGUGAGAGUGGAAAGCUCAGCGAGUGACGGUAACUACCCAGAAAGGGACGGCUAACUACGUG